rnacentral:rRNA from 1 species
AUGGCUCCUGAGUAUGCAAUGGAAGGUGUCUUCUGUACCAAGUCUGACGUCUACAGUUUCGGCGUGUUACUACUGGAGGUUGUAACUGGUAUAAGGAGAAACUCCAUUAGUGAAACCAUGGGAUUCCCUAGCCUCACAGUUUAUUCAUGGAAUAUGUGGAAGGAAGCUAGGACCAGUGAGCUGCCGGACUCAUCUAUCUUAGAUACUUCAUCCGAUGAAGUUCUACUUUGCGUCCAUGUAGCACUCUUGUGUGUCCAGGAGAACCCUGAUGAUAGGCCGCUCAUGUCGUCUGUUGUGUUUGUCCUAGAGAACGGGAGCAGCACACUUACUUCCCCCAAUCGCCCCGCCUACUUUGCGAGGCAAAGUGCUGCAGUGAAUCAAAUUAGAACUGAUAUUCAGACAUCCGUGAACAGUUUUACUCUUACUGAGAUAGAAGGACGAUGA